GAACAUGAUACAUUAAGACAGUGGUUCCCAAACUGGGGUUUGUGAACCCCUGGGGGUUUGCGAAAUGUUACAGGGGGUUCUCGGGGGAAAAUUCCCUAAUGGAAGACAGAGCUGUCCCCAGGGACCCCGGGCAGCAUGGGCCCAGCAACCCGGAGCCCCUGGACUUCCAAAAGCUAAGCAGAUCAAACCAAGCAUAUCUAUUACACUGA